UCGGGGGUAAUUCAAUGGCAGAAUGCUCGGCUGUUAACCGAGUCGUUGUGGGUUCGAGUCCCACCCCCCGAG
rnacentral:tRNA from 1 species